rnacentral:rRNA from 1 species
UCCAUGCAGUCGACGGCAGCACGGGAGCAAUCCUGGUGGCGAGUGGCGAACGGGUGAGUAAUAUAUCGGAACGUGCCCAGUCGUGGGGGAUAACGCAGCGAAAGCUGUGCUAAUACCGCGUACGAUCUCUGGAUGAAAGCGGGGGACCUUUGGGCCUCGCGCGAUUGGAGCGGCCGAUAUCAGAUUAGCUAGUUGGUGGGGUAAAAGCUUACCAAGGCUACGAUCUGUAGCUGGUCUGAGAGGACGACCAGCCACACUGGAACUGAGACACGGUCCAGACUCCUACGGGAGGCAGCAGUGGGGAAUUUUGGACAAUGGGCGCAAGCCUGAUCCAGCAAUGCCGCGUGCAGGAUGAAGGCCUUCGGGUUGUAAACUGCUUUUGUACGGAACGAAACGGUUCUUUCUAAUACAGAGAGCUAAUGACGGUACCGUAAGAAUAAGCACCGGCUAACUACGUGCCAGCAGCCGCGGUAAUACGUAGGGUGCGAGCGUUAAUCGGAAUUACUGGGCGUAAAGCGUGCGCAGGCGGUUUUGUAAGACAGGUGUGAAAACCCCGGGCUUAACCUGGGAACUGCAUUUGUGACUGCAAGGCUAGAGUACGGUAGAGGGGGAUGGAAUUCCGCGUGUAGCAGUGAAAUGCGUAGAUAUGCGGAGGAACACCGAUGGCGAAGGCAAUCCCCUGGACCUGUACUGACGCUCAUGCACGAAAGCGUGGGGAGCAAACAGGAUUAGAUACCCUGGUAGUCCACGCCCUAAACGAUGUCAACUGGUUGUUGGGUCUUAACUGACUCAGUAACGAAG